rnacentral:rRNA from 1 species
GCUUGCACUCAGCGGUCAAAGUGCGCCGUGGCGAACGGGUGAGUAACACGUGGGCAAUCUGCCCAAAAGCGGGGGAUAACACUUGGAAACAGGUGCUAAUACCGCAUCAACCGGCUGACCGCAUGGUCGGCCGGGCAAAGACGGCGUCAGCUGUCGCUUUUGGAUGAGCCCGCGGCGUAUUAACUAGUUGGUAAGGUAACGGCUUACCAAGGUGAUGAUACGUAGCCGAACUGAGAGGUUGAUCGGCCACAUUGGGACUGAGACACGGCCCAAACUCCUACGGGAGGCAGCAGUAGGGAAUCUUCCACAAUGGACGCAAGUCUGAUGGAGCAACGCCGCGUGUAUGAAGAAGGUCUUCGGAUCGUAAAAUACUGUUGUCAGAGAAGAACACGUGAUAGAGUAACUGCUAUGGCGCUGACGGUAUCUGACCAGCAAGUCACGGCUAACUACGUGCCAGCAGCCGCGGUAAUACGUAGGUGGCAAGCGUUGUCCGGAUUUAUUGGGCGUAAAGGGAACGCAGGCGGUCUUUUAAGUCUGAUGUGAAAGCCUUCGGCUUAACCGGAGAAGUGCAUUGGAAACUGGAAGACUUGAGUGCAGAAGAGGAGAGUGGAACUCCAUGUGUAGCGGUGAAAUGCGUAGAUAUAUGGAAGAACACCAGUGGCGAAAGCGGCUCUCUGGUCUGUAACUGACGCUGAGGUUCGAAAGCGUGGGGAGCGAACAGGAUUAGAUACCCUGGUAGUCCACGCUGUAAACGAUGAAUGCUAGGUGUUGGAGGGUUUCCGCCCUUCGGUGCCGCAGCUAACGCACUAAGCAUUC